CCUACGGGAGGCAGCAGUGAGGAAUAUUGGUCAAUGGGCGGAAGCCUGAACCAGCCAAGUCGCGUGAGGGAAUAAGGCCCUACGGGUCGUAAACCUCGUUUGCCGGGGAGCAAGGGCGGGGACGUGUCCCGGCCCGGAGAGUACCCGGAGAAAAAGCAGCGGCUAACUCCGUGCCAGCAGCCGCGGUAAUAAGGAGGAUGCGAGCGUUAGCCGGAUUUAUUGGGUUGCACGGGGGAGUAGGCGGGCUUUUAAGUCAGCGGUAAAAAUUCGGGGCUCAACCCCGUCCGGCCGUUGAAACUGGGGGCCUUGAGUGGGCGAGACGCAGGCGGAAUGCGUGGUGUAGC
rnacentral:rRNA from 1 species